rnacentral:lncRNA from 1 species
ACCAACAAAGCGCCGCACUCAGACGACGAAAUCACAAAACAAGAAAAACAAAACUAAAAAACUUAAUUUAUGUGAAAUCACUUAUUUAAAUGGAAAGAAAAUAAAAAAACAACUUAGAGGGGUGAUUUUGAGUCAAAAAUUGACCCAAAAACCACCCCUCCUUGGUGGAUGAUGAAGAAGAAAAGCAAAAUAGGGUUAGAAGAGAGGGGGA